GGGAAAGGUCAGAUUGCAAAACCUGUGCCACCUGCCUUCAAUGGAAAAACCAUGCUGCCUUCCAGGCCUGCAGGUUCUCUGGGCCCCAGUUCCUUCCUGGGGCCUUUUCCUUGGUGAGGUUUCUGGACCCCUGAAGACACUGAUAGUUUCUGCUUUGCAAGCUCAUACAGGUGUUCCAGAUUGUUGACAGUCCCAUGGUAUUGUUGUUAUCUUCAUGUGAGUUCCUGAAUACAUCCUAUUUAUUUCUGUAUUCCUGGUGAUCCUUCCAAGAGUACCUUUGGGUUUGGAAAAGGCGGGAUAGACCCUCUGAUCCUCCCAUAAGGACCUGGGCUGCUGGUGUGGUAGUAGGGGAUUGGCCAACAAAGUCAUUUGUAAGGAGCUACCUCCAGAUGCCUAAAAUGACUCUGCCACUAGCUGGUCACUCAGCCCCACUAAAGAGCAAACCUACUUCAGGCAGGGAGAAAAUGACUAAACAUCCAAAGAGAAGUAACUGUUGCUUGAAGUAGAUUUUUUUAAAAAUAAUUUUUUUAGUUGUCAAUGGACUUUAUUUAUUUAUAUGUGUUGCAGAGAAUUGAACCCAGUGCCUCACACAUGCUAGGCAAGUGCUCUACCACCGAGCCCCAACCCCAGCCCUUGAAGUAGAUUUAAAACGGACAAAGGCAGUGAGUCCUCUCUGAGGCUCCUUGCAGGUCUGUGACUCUAGGAUUGCAACUACCUGGAAUUACAGAUAACUUGAAGCUGGGCUGAAAAAC
rnacentral:lncRNA from 1 species